rnacentral:rRNA from 1 species
CAAUAGCGUAUAUUAAAGUUGUUGCAGUUAAAAAGCUCGUAGUUGGAUUUCUGAUCGAGACAUCAGGUCGGGUCCGAGAGGAUCAUGUACUUUGAUUUUGUUUUGAUCAUCCUUGGGGAGAGCAUUUCUGGCAUUCAGUUGUCGGGAUUGGGAUCCUCAUCGUUUACUGUGAAAAAAUUAGAGUGUUCAAAGCAGGCCUCGGCCUCUGAAUACAUUAGCAUGGAAUAAUAAGAUAGGACUUUGGUGGUCUAUUUUGUUGGUUUGCACACCAAAGUAAUGAUUAAUAGGGAUAGUUGGGGGUAUUCGUAUUCAAUUGUCAGAGGUGAAAUUCUUGGAUUUAUGGAAGACGAACUACUGCGAAAGCAUUUACCAAGGAUGUUUUCAUUAA